AUACGGAGGGUGCAAGCGUUAUUCGGAAUCACUGGGCGUAAAGGACGCGUAGGCGGGUUGGCAAGUCAGAUGUGAAAUCCUACAGCUUAACUGUAGAACUGCAUUUGAAACUGCUAACCUAGAGUAUGGGAGGGGGAGAUGGAAUUAGUGGUGUAGGGGUAAAAUCCGUAGAUAUCUCUACGAAUACCGAAAGCGAAGGCGAUCUCCUGGAACAUAACUGACGCUAAGGCGUGAAAGCGUGGGGAGCAAACAGGAUUAGAAACCCUAGUAGUCC
rnacentral:rRNA from 1 species